AUUGUGGAAAUUGUUACUAAAAUAAUCUUUAUGUAAUACAAUGUGAGCAUUCUAUCUCAAUGAAUGGGAGGCAUUUAAUAUAAAUUAAAAGGUUGAGUGAUUAUUAGAUAAUAACAAUCAUAUGUCCGAGUUAAGUGUUGUUAUUUUCAUUUACCUACAAUAGUAAUACCUCGGAAUUGACUGUCCGUACAGGUCAGAUCGUUAUCCCGAGUGUGCUAUUUUCAUUUCAAAUCCCCUCCUGAUCCUCUCUUCAUCUUCAUGUUGAAGUGAUCUUGCCUCUUUGUGCCUCAUUCGCCUGAUCUCAUCUCCUUUAAUUGGAGGAUCGUUCAUUGCACUAUUGCCCCUUCAUAUCAAGAUCUUCUAUGGAAUCAUCGUAUACUUCUACAUAUUAGAACUAUGGGGUUCCAUAAAACGACAGAAUAAUGGACUGAAAGAUCCAGUGAGGAACAGAGAGAGUUCUCAUCCACCAUCCACUGCCCUGUUAUUCAAGUUCUUGAGUAUUUUUUCCUUAAGUCAACUCUACUUUGUCUCCUACUCUAAGAUAACUACUUCAUUCAUAAGUGUCCUUGAUGUAUAUAACGCAGAAAUAACUGAUAAGUGUUAUUUAUAAGAUGGAGUUUGUGAUGUAUGGUCUAUAAGACUAUAUAUAUAAUUAUAUAACUUGGAAACUUUAAGCCUCAUCCCUGAUUAGUGAUUUCUUUAUUACUUGUAAGUCUCUUUUGUGAUUGAAAAAAAAGUGGAAGAUGAUUCUAGACUCUUACGAUAGUAUGCCGCCUCUCUUUUCUCGAUAGUUAUGGCUGUAAUGCAUGUUCUAUUCUGCUAUUGUAUAUAAAUAAUUAUUUUAUCUUUGAUCAAAUCAUCAAACACUUAUAUUAUUGAACUGAAGAGACUAAGAAACACUAAGAAAAAUAUAAUGGAAAAUACAGUGAGGAACAAAGAAGUUAUCAUCCUCCACCCACAGAUCCUUCAUUGAGACUUGUGUUCCAUUCUCCUAAAUUCAACUCCUACUUUAAGUUAACGCUUUCCUUGAUAAGAGUAAUUUAUUGUCCUUAAUACCUAUAACGCACGAAUCACUACUGAAUAAUAUCUACCCAAAAUAUCAAUUCCAUUUAUAAGUAAGACUAUUUUACCAUUGGAAAACAAGUGGAAGAUUAUUUUUAAAUCCUCAUUUUUCUUCAUAUUUUGGUCUGCAAUGCAUUAUUCUAUUAUGUUAUUGCAUAUAAAUAGUUAAUGGCACUGUCAAGUGAUUAGGUGUUUAAAAAAAUAUAAGUGACUUCUGAGUUUCUGUAGAUUUCUAUUGAAAUGCCUGAAUUUUGUUACAAUUCCAAAAUUAUUGCCUCAGGAAUUUUCUUCUAAACAGCUAAAUUGCUUGUUAGCAUAUUGGAAUAUUACUCUUGCGAAGAUCUAGGAUCUUUACAAAAAUAAAUAAAUGUAUGCCAUACGAGCUAAUUAUAAGUGUUUGAUUGAAAAAAAUAGUUAAAAUUUAACAAAACAAUAAAACAAAUGUUGAGUAUGAUUUGAACAAAUAAAAAUAAUUACAACACCAA
rnacentral:lncRNA from 1 species